rnacentral:rRNA from 1 species
UACAGAGGUCCCAAGCGUUGUUCGGAUUCACUGGGCGUAAAGGGUGCGUAGGUGGUUGGGAAAGUUUGAUGUGAAAGCUCGGAGCCUAACUCCGAAAUGGCAUUGAAUACUUCUUAACUUGAGGGUCGGAGGGGAGACUGGAAUUCUCGGUGUAGCAGUGAAAUGCGUAGAUAUCGAGAGGAACACCAGUGGCGAAGGCGAGUCUCUGGACGACUCCUGACACUGAGGCACGAAAGCUAGGGGAGCAAACAGG